rnacentral:rRNA from 1 species
AUGCUCUGCCCGGUGAGGGCUUGUUCUGUUAGACCCGACUGGGGUUCGAAACCCGAUCUGGCUUGUAACAGGCUUCGGUUAUACCUCGUCCAGUACGAGAGGAGGAGAGGCGUGAGCGACGGCGGGCCUGCAGCAGAUCCACAUGCGCGGCGGCCUUCUCCGGCGCGAGCACGAUGGGAGCGGACGGCAGCAGCGUGCCCCAGAGGCGUCCUACUAUUGCGUCCGAGAGAGGUGACGACGGCGUCCACACCUACGAUGUUGGAUUUCUCGCUGCAAGGCCACAAGAGGACAACAUGCCCAGACCGGGGCGAUGUUCCAAAACCAGUAAGGAGACCUGCUCGAUGCAAGAACUGUGGUGUGGAAGGCCAUAUAGGCAUAACAAGUGCCACAAGGUUGGGGAGCUACGCCUAA